rnacentral:rRNA from 1 species
UACGUAGGGUGCGAGCGUUAAUCGGAAUUACUGGGCGUAAAGGGUGCGUAGGCUGUGUUGUAAGUCAGAGGUGAAAUCCCGGGGCUCAACCUCGGAACUGCCUCCGAUACUGCAAGACUUGAGGACUGGAGAGGAGAUUGGAAUUCAUGGUGGAGCAGUGAAAUGCGUAGAUAUCAUGAGGAACGCUAGUGGCGUAGGCGAAUCUCUGGACAGUUCCUGACGCUGAGGCACGAAGGCUAGGGGAGCAAACGGG